UACGGGGGGGGCAAGCGUUGUUCGGAAUUACUGGGCGUAAAGGGCUUGUAGGUGGCCAACUAAGUCAGACGUGAAAUCCCUCGGCUUAACCGGGGAACUGCGUCUGAUACUGGAUGGCUAGAGUGUGGGAGAGGGAUGCGGAAUUCCAGGUGUAGCGGUGAAAUGCGUAGAUAUCUGGAGGAACACCGGUGGCGAAGGCGGCAUCCUGGACCGGUAUUGACGCUGAGGCGCGAAAGCCAGGGGAGCAAACGGG
rnacentral:rRNA from 1 species